rnacentral:misc_RNA from 1 species
AUGCGAUAAGUAAUGUGAAUUGCAGAAUUCAGUGAAUCAUCGAAUCUUUGAACGCACAUUGCGCCCGCUAGCAUUCUGGCGGGCAUGCUUGUUCGAGCGUCCUCGAAAACCCUCGGGCCCUGGAGACUUGUCUUCGGCGGCCCGGUGUUGGGAUGCCGCGGCUGCCGCGGCUCCUCAAAACCAGUGGCGGACCUCCCUGUGGCCCUGGCGUAGUAAUAAACCUCGCCUUCGGCUUCCGGGAACGCCCUGCCCCGAGAACCCAUCUCAACCAUUUGGACCUCGAAUCAAGUAGGAAUACCCGCUGAACUUAA